AGUAAAAAACAAAGUACAACAAACAAACAAAAAAGAUCCAUGGAGUUGAGUCAGACAAGUAAUCAGAUUCUUAAAAUCCAAUAGAAUGAGUUCUCCAACGCACACAACAAAAUGUUGUUCAUCAGAAUACCGUAGGAGAGCAAAGGAAAGGCUGAUGCCUUGGAAAAAUCUGGAAGGAAUUCACAGAGGAAGUAAGCUUUGAGCUGGAUUGAAAUACAUGGCAUUGCUUGGGAGAAAAUGAGAAAACCAAGGAAAUAUUCGCUGUAAAGUAUUGAGACGUGAAAGAGUGGCAAGCUGGGCAAGCUGGCACAUGGAAUGGGUGGAUCAUUAGUAGAAAAUGCCAUUAAUGUAACAGGCCAAUUAUGUCUCUGAAAAUGGCUGCUCCAUACCUAAUUCUAAAUAAUAAACAGAGUGUCUUAUACAUUAAUAAAUUGACCUAGGUAAUAAUUAUCAUCUUUUUCUUUAUCGUCAUCAUUGAUAUCAUCAGGACCACUUACAAUAUACCAGGCUCAGCUGUUGCAGAGAAGUAAUGAUUCACACGAAAAUUUAAAAUGGAAAGAUUGUCCUCUCCAAUCGGCCCCACUUCAUAAUUCCCAACUCAACAAAGAUUGCAUUUUAGAAACAUGCAACUGUGCAGAUGUUUAAAAUGAAGGCCAUAAGCUCUAAAAUCAUUGCCAUUUUAUUUAAAUAUCAAACAGCUCAAAAUUUGUCUGUGACAAAAAUAAUUUAAAUGUUUUGGUAAAAAUAUAAAAUAUUAAGCAUUCGGUUUUCCACUUUUGGAAACUGAGAGAGAAGUUAUGGAAGCUGAAUAUUGGUCAUGAAAGAGACUGUCAUAUAAAAGAUAUGUUAUACCCAUCUCUAAGACUUUUAGAUAUUGUAGUAGAAUUAAUGAAAAUUAUUCCAGAGCAGAGAAUAUACAGUACAGUGUCAGUAAUUAUGCAUGCUGCUACUUCAGUAUACUACUUAUCCAUUCCCCUGUUGAAAAUACUUCAGUAUUUUACUUAUCCAUUCCCCUGUUGAAGAACAAAAUAAACAGGUUAUAUUUUUGUAAAGACAUAUUGGAUAUAGUAGAAGAAAAGAGACAGAUAGCAGAGAAGGAUAUUCAUGAACAUGGAUCAACAGGCAGAUCCAGUUCAUACAUGGGAAAACACCAUCAAGUUGUGGCCAGAUUACCAAAAAAUAAAAUAAAAUUGCCAAAAAAAGUACGACUCGUGAAGUUGUGAUUCUCAAAAUGUUUCAUUCUAUCUAUUUCUGUAGAGAAACAACAAAUUAAUUGGUUUUAAAAAAAGAAAUGGACUCUAUAGUUUAAGCAGUUUCAGGUUCACAGCAAACUUGAACAGAAAGUACAGAGGAUCCCCAUGUACACCCUUCACACCCAUAGUCAACCUGCCCAACCAUCAACAUCCCAU
rnacentral:lncRNA from 1 species